CAAAAUUCAGGACUGUAACCCAUGCAAGGCUGACAGACUGACUAACCGACUGUCUGUUUGACUGACUUUGUGACUGACUAGGUGACUAACUGCAACUCAGCCUCAGAGGAGACAGAGAGACAAGAGGUUCGUCCUUCCCGCCCCGCCGUCACGCGACUGUGACAGCUGUUUCAGCUGGCCCUGAAAGGCCCUGUGGAUAUCUCUGUGUCCUGUGUGCUCAUCCCCUGACACCUGCUGUGUGGUGCCCUCUUCCACCUGUGCAAAGAGGAGGAGCAUGCGCUGCUCUCCCCCAAUGAAAAGGUGCCAUGCCUCAAUGCCGGCUUCGGCUGUUCAAUCAGUAUGCCCUGUGCCUGGCAGGCGGUCUACCUGCAGGUCUGUCCCGCCAGCGUGGGUGUGCUGCUCCAUGGAGUGGAAGUCACACCCGGCGCCAGGAUAAAGUGACUAAGGGGGCAGUGAAAUUGGACCUGAGCCCUAGGACCAUGCCCCAGGACUACCUGACAUGAUGACUCCUUGCUGUCCCCAGUCCACCU
ensembl:lncRNA